rnacentral:rRNA from 1 species
GACAGAGGUGCCAAGCGUUAGGCGGAAUCACUGGGCUUAAAGCGUGUGUAGGUGGAUUUGUAAGUACCUUGUGAAAUCCCAUGGCUCAACCAUGGAACUGCUCGGUAUACUGCGAAUCUUGAGCCACUUAGGGGCUACCGGAACAAAUGGUGGAGCGGUGAAAUGCGUAGAUAUUAUUUGGAACGCCAAUGGUGAAAACAGGUAGCUGGGAGUGUGCUGACACUGAGACACGAAAGCCAGGGGAGCGAACGGG